CACUUCGAUUCUUUGCGUAAAGAAACAAUACGGUCCUUACUAGUCAGAUCAUUGUUAAAUAGGUAUCCUAAUCGAAACUCAAUAUAUGCACACUUAUUAAUAUUAAAUGUACAUCUAAUCUUAUAAUAAUGUAUUGAUGUAGUGUGACGAAGGGGGUUAUUGCAUCUGGACUUCGACAAGCAAAACCUCCUGUUUGGCAUUUAGUCGAGUGUCCGGUACAAGUAGGUGGACGUGCGUGUGGGUAUUACGUCAUGAGGUUCAUGAUCGAUAUCGUCAACCGUUGCAAAGAUGUUGGUGAUCUUCGAAAUGUUUAUGCGAAUUCCACACCACGUUUGAGGAACUUCACCAAAGAAGAAAUUGAUGAAGUUCGGGAUAAGUUGGCGUCCCACAUUACCGAUGAUUUCAUAACAUGACAUUUUAGCUCGAAUGUA